UAGUUCGAUCCUGGCUCAGGAUGAACGCUGGCGGCAUGCCUAAUACAUGCAAGUCGAACGGAGUGAAGCCUUCGGGUUUCAUUCAGUGGCGAACGGGUGAGUAAUACGCAGGGAACCUGGCCAUGGCAGGGGGAUACACUCUGGAAACGGAGCAUAAGACCCCAUAGGCAGUAAGGCGGCAUCGCCUUACUGUUAAAGAAAGCUGAAAGGCUUUGGCGAUGGAUGGACCUGCGGUGCAUUAGCUUGUUGGUGAGGCAACGGCUUACCAAGGCGAUGAUGCAUAGCCGGCCUGAGAGGGCGGACGGCCACACUGGGACUGAGACACGGCCCAGACUCCUGCGGGAGGCAGCAGUAGGGAAUUUUCGUCAAUGGGCGCAAGCCUGAACGAGCAAUGCCGCGUGAGUGAGGAAGGUCUUCGGACUGUAAAGCUCUGUUGCCGGGGAAAAAGGGGAAAUGCAGGAAAUGGCAUUUCAUGGAUGGUACCCGGCCAGAAAGCCACGGCUAACUACGUGCCAGCAGCCGCGGUAAUACGUAGGUGGCGAGCGUUAUCCGGAAUGAUUGGGCGUAAAGGGCGCGCAGGCGGUCUGUUAAGUCUGAAGGCAAAGGGAUGAGCUCAACUCAUUUAUGAUUCAGAAACUGGCAGACUUGAGGACAGGAGAGGGCGGUGGAACUCCAUGUGUAGCGGUAAAAUGCGCAGAGAUAUGGAAGAACACCAGUGGCGAAGGCGGCCGCCUGGCCUGUGACUGACGCUGAGGCACGAAAGCGUGGGGAGCAAAUAGGAUUAGAUACCCUAGUAGUCCACGCCGUAAACGAUGAGGAGCAGGUGUUGGGAGUGAAAUCUCAGUGCCGAAGCCAACGCAGUGACUCCUCCGCCUGGGGAGUAUGCACGCAAGUGUGAAACUCAAAGGAAUUGACGGGGGCCCGCACAAGCGGUGGAGUAUGUGGUUUAAUUCGAAGCAACGCGAAGAACCUUACCAGGUUUUGACAUCGGAUGCGAAGGCGCAGAGAUGCGCUGGAGGCUAUCAUCCAGACAGGUGGUGCAUGGUUGUCGUCAGCUCGUGUCGUGAGAUGUUCAGUUAAGUCUGGCAACGAGCGCAACCCCCGUGGUAUGUUACUAACGCUUUAGGGCGAGGACUCAUAUCAGACUGCCGGUGACAAACCGGAGGAAGGCGGGGAUGACGUCAAAUCAUCAUGCCCCUUAUGACCUGGGCUACACACGUACUACAAUGGCGUCUACAGAGGGAAGCGACCCUGAGAAGGGAAGCGAAACCGGAAAAGGGCGUCCCAGUUCGGAUUGAAGUCUGCAACCCGACUUCAUGAAGAUGGAAUCGCUAGUAAUCGCGGAUCAGCAUGCCGCGGUGAAUACGUUCCCGGGCCUUGUACACACCGCCCGUCAAACCAUGGAAGCCGGCAACGCCCGAAGCCGGUGGCAUAACCUUUUAGGAGUGAGCCGUCGAAGGCGGGGCCGAUGACUGGGGUUAAGUCGUAACAAGGUACCC
rnacentral:rRNA from 1 species